rnacentral:rRNA from 1 species
GACGAACGCUGGCGGCGUGCUUAACACAUGCAAGUCGAACGGAAAGGCCCUGCUUUUGUGGGGUGCUCGAGUGGCGAACGGGUGAGUAACACGUGAGUAACCUGCCCUUGACUUUAGGAUAACUUCAGGAAACUGGGACUAAUACCGGAUAGGAGCUCCUGCUGCAUGGUGGGGGUUGGAAAGUUUCGGCAGUUGGGGAUGGACUCGCGGCUUAUCAGCUUGUUGGUGGGGUAGUGGCUUACCAAGGCUUUGACGGGUAGCCGGCCUGAGAGGGUGACCGGCCACAUUGGGACUGAGAUACGGCCCAGACUCCUACGGGAGGCAGCAGUGGGGAAUAUUGCACAAUGGGCGGAAGCCUGAUGCAGCAACGCCGCGUGCGGGAUGACGGCCUUCGGGUUGUAAACCGCUUUCGCCUGUGACGAAGCGUGAGUGACGGUAAUGGGUAAAGAAGCACCGGCUAACUACGUA